CUCAAAUUUACUUCAGAUAUUUGCCCUAACUAUUCGAUUAGCACCCAACCUCCCUUUCCUCUCCUCCUCGGCCUCCACCUCCGCUUCCGACCAGAACCCUCAUCCUUCGUUCUCAACCUUCGACCAGAACCCAGUCCUCCUCCUCCUCCUUCUUCUCCACCUCAGACGGUGAACGGUGAAUGGAAUCAGAGUUCGAGGGAUUUGUGAGCUUUUGUGUUAUAGGUAAUUCACAAAUCUGUUCAGUUUUUGUCUUCGAAGGAUUUGAGAAUUCUUAAUUCACUGAUCUGAGUUUUUGUUUCUUAAUUUUCUUACAACGAUUUGUGUUUCAUAUAUCGGAGAAACAAGCAUUCUUCGUUGAUGUUUCUAGGCAAGUUUGAGCUUUCUAAGUUUGUGGCCAUGUAAUUGCCAUUCAUAUUCUGAGCUCUUUUGGCAUUCUCCAUCUCUGAGGAGACUCCAUGCUUGCUCUCGUGCUGGUCAAGACACAUUCAAUUCGUGUGUUCUCUGCCUAUGAAGGUUUCUGUAGCUUUUUGUUAAUGUGGUGUAUUUUUUUUUUACUAAAAUCCAAACAAUAGCAUAAGUGAGGAUUAAGGCCUUUUUCCAAUUUCUGUUGUUAUAUGACAUUGAAUUAUAGUGUACAAUUGAUUGGGAACAGAUAUUGUGUAUUGAUAUGAUAAAAGCUAAUAUAAAUAGUCCACUAUAACAGAUUAACAGACGAUCUUAAACAAGGAAACUAAGCUUCAAGUCUAGCUAAAACAGGGUACCAGGUACCACAAUAACCAAUGGACUGCCAACCAGGAUAAUUUUAUUUGAUUCUUUCAUCUUAAAGUUUGUGUCUGGUUCUAUGUGUUCUUUUUCCAAAACAAAUCAACAAAUUAUGCAGAAUGAUCUUUUGGUCUCAUUACAGGUUGAUAAUCUGCACAAGCAUGUGGACUUGCAAAAAAAAUUGAUUUAGUGAUCACAUCUGCUUUGCUAAGGGAGUGGUGGUUGGAUUGGAUUGUAGAAUGAGUGUGUGUCUAAGUAAAAUCUUAGCUCACAUGAAGGAUAACUAAAAGAUCAAGGAGUUAAUUAAAAAGAGUGAAGAAAAAAUGGAUUGGGCCCGUUCAUGGAAGGCCACACUCUUCUCACUUCUCGGAGACAUUCCAUCUCAUCUUCGUAAACUGAUUGCUUCCAUUGCCAUUGAUGGGACUUCUGCAACUACUCUCAUUGUUGACAGCAACACAGGAGAGCCGUUAUGGAGACCUUUCCUAUACAAUAUUUCUUAGUAUAAUGAACUCAAUCUUGGCCCUUUGUUCAUGUCAUCAUGUGGUAAAACAGCAAGAUAAUUUCAGUUUGGGUCAUAGAUAGGUAGUGCUACACAACUCUUGAGAGAGGUGAAGUUCAAUUUAUAGCUGUCCCUGAUCUUGCUUUAAAUUAAAUCUACCUACGUUGAAGUUUUCUGGAAAUGCAGAUAACAUAGUAGUAGCAUGCACGGUCUAGUCUGCACGUUUAGUUUCUUAUUCUCUUCUCAAAAUUACUCUAUUUGCAUACUAGUAUGGAUUUGUUAUUGUUGGAAGAUAGAAUCUGUCGAAUAAUCGUCUAUGUUUUCUGUUUAAUUGGUGAGUUAGUUUACAAAUGAACGGCUUGAAUAAAGAGUAUAUCAAUAUAUACAGCUGGUAUGGGUCUCUCAUAACAACUUGCAUUUAGCUCUUUCACCUUAAUAUUUUGUACAGGCAAACAUCUUCUCAAUGUUUCAGAUUACCUGUUCUUUAAUGCAGGUGUGGACUUUGGCCUAUGUCACCCCUGUUGUACUUUAUAUUUUAGCUAUAGAUUAAUGAUAUUGUUAAGUCAUUGCCCUCUACUUUAACUACUUUUUGUGAUUUGAAGUUGCAAUUUAAGUGGAUAUCUGUGAAACUAGUUCUCAGCUCAUUGGCACAUGUUUUUGCUAGGUUCAUUCGCAGCUACACCAAGGACUGAAAAUUCAAGUUACAAGUAUUUUUAUCUUAUAACAAAUUGCUAUUUUCUUUUUCUUUUUCUUUUUACUGUAUCUACAAACCGUUUUUGUCUUCAUAUGGUUUAUUUAAGAGACUUUAAUCUUGUUCUUUUCUUUUGCUAUUGUACAUGGAGAAGUUUAGGCCAUAUGUCCCCUUCUCCCUACUCUUUGUACUGUUUUUAUCAAUAAUAUUAAUGAGAAUUUUCUUUU